UGGGGAAUAUUGGACAAUGGGCGAAAGCCUGAUCCAGCCAUGCCGCGUGUGUGAAGAAGGUCUUCGGAUUGUAAAGCACUUUAAGUUGGGAGGAAGGGCAUUAACCUAAUACGUUAGUGUUUUGACGUUACCGACAGAAUAAGCACCGGCUAACUCUGUGCCAGCAGCCGCGGUAAUACAGAGGGUGCAAGCGUUAAUCGGAAUUACUGGGCGUAAAGCGCGCGUAGGUGGUUUGUUAAGUUGGAUGUGAAAGCCCCGGGCUCAACCUGGGAACUGCAUCCAAAACUGGCAAGCUAGAGUACGGUAGAGGGUGGUGGAAUUUCCUGUGUAGCGGUGAAAUGCGUAGAUAUAGGAAGGAACACCAGUGGCGAAGGCGACCACCUGGACUGAUACUGACACAGAGGUGCGAAAGCGUGGGGAGCAAACA
rnacentral:rRNA from 1 species